rnacentral:tRNA from 1 species
GGAUCCUUAGCUCAGUGGUAGAGCAGUUGGCUUGCAAACCACAUCGUCCCGGGUUCGAUUCCUGGAGGGUCCG